rnacentral:tRNA from 3 species
GGUGGACUGGCGCAAUGGCAGCGCGUUGCUUUCCGGUGGCAAAGGCUCCAGGUUCGAGUCCUGGGUUCAUCG